UACAGAGGUCUCAAGCGUUGUUCGGAUUCAUUGGGCGUAAAGGGUGUGUAGGUGGCGCGCUAAGUCGGGUGUGAAAUUCGGAGCUUAACUCCGAAACUGCAUUCGAUACUGGCGUGCUUGAGGACUGGAGAGGAGACUGGAAUUCAUGGUGUAGCAGUGAAAUGCGUAGAGAUCAUGAGGAAGACCAGUGGCGAAGGCGGGUCUCUGGACAGUUCCUGACACUGAGACACGAAGGCCAGGGGAGCAAACGGG
rnacentral:rRNA from 1 species